GGAACUACCACUAUGUCCUGGCGCCAAACGUGAUACGACUUGAAAACCAGGAAACUCUGCUAGUUGGCAUUCUAGGUGGUGGAAGGAAUGAGAUUGUAACAGUAUACUUUGAAUAUCUGAACAAGACAAUCUCCAAAACAUUAACAACCAUUACAGAUGCAGCCCAUCCAGUCGAAGUGACGAUCAAGGUCACUGAAGAUGACCUUUUUAAAGACAUCGACACCAGUCCAAGUUUUAGGGACAAACCGAAAUCUAUAACUAUUGUCUGUGAAGGACCACACGGGAAGCAGGUCCGAGAUAUCUCUCUUAGUUACACACCAGGAUACCUGAUCGUACAGACGGACAAACCUAUGUACCACCCG